UACGAAGGGAGCUAGCGUUACUCGGAAUCACUGGGCGUAAAGCGCAUGUAGGCGGAAUUGCAAGUCAGAGGUGAAAUCCCAGGGCUUAACCCUGGAAUUGCCUUUGAAACUGCAAUUCUUGAGUAUGAUAGAGGAUAGUGGAAUUUCCAGUGUAGAGGUGAAAUUCGUAGAUAUUGGAAAGGACACCAGUGGCGAAGGCGGCUAUCUGGGUCAUUACUGACGCUGAGAUGCGAAAGCGUGGGGAGCAAACAGG
rnacentral:rRNA from 1 species